ensembl:lncRNA
CUGAAAGACCCGGCAGCGGGCAUCCUCCUCAGGCUGGAUGAACGGAUGUUGCAUCCGCCACUGCAGAGGGUGAGCAAGGAGCUUGAGCCAGCUUCAGCUGUUACCGUAAGUCUCAGAGGAGCGGCGCAUAGUGAAAAGGUUGGCUAAGAACCCGAAGGCCCGGAGGGCGCCGCGACGUGGAGCUCCUGAACUGCUGUCUUGGUGCGCCCCCCACUGCCGACCGCCAGAGGAGGAAGUCGCGACUCGUUUCAGCAUCUCCGCUGGCUCCGAUCCCGGGACUCUGCGGGGGGCGGCAGCCCAAAUCCCAUCCCUGAAGCCCACCUUCGCUCGUCUUAUCUUCUAGGGACCGGUUAUUACCUGUGAGAGGCUGGAAAAAGCAAACAGCUCUGAGAUGCUACCCUCCCCACUCCUUUGAGAGCCAGCAGAGAACAUUUCCUCUCAACCGGUCGAAGCUUACCUAAAGGAGGGUCACGCAGGUGAGGGUGUCUUAUCGAUUCCCCUGGUCAGCCAGUAUGAGCAAAUCACAGCCCCAAAACAAGAAUCCACCCAAUUUGUUGUGGUGCAGGAAGCACAGGAACAGAAAGCCCAGGGGGUCCCCUUGGACACCCCUGUCUCCGCAGGCCACAAGGGGUUCUUUGAACCUCACUUAGUUCUGAGCAGUAAGUCUCCUGGCAGCAAGUCUUUUCAGAUUCCCUUCAAGGUGCUUCUCAAAGUGUGCUCCCUGCAUCACC